AAUAAUGUGCCUGAAAAAGGAUUAUUUUGAUAGAAUAAAUCAUACAAAUUAUUUUGUCUUUAUUA
rnacentral:tRNA from 1 species